rnacentral:rRNA from 1 species
CGGGUGAGUAAUACAUCGGAACGUGUCUUCUAGUGGGGGAUAACUGCCCGAAAGGGCAGCUAAUACCGCAUGAGACCUGAGGGUGAAAGCGGGGGAUCGCAAGACCUCGCGCUGGAAGAGCGGCCGAUGUCCGAUUAGCUAGUUGGUGGGGUAAAGGCUCACCAAGGCGACGAUCGGUAGCUGGUCUGAGAGGACGACCAGCCACACUGGGACUGAGACACGGCCCAG